rnacentral:rRNA from 1 species
AUCUUGACCUCAGAUCAGGCAAGGCUACCCGCUGAAUUUAAGCAUAUUAAUAAGCGGAGGAAAAGAAACUAACAAGGAUUCCCUCAGUAACAGCGAGUGAAGCGGGAACAGCUCAAAUUUGAAAUCUCCGGCGCUUGCGUCGGCGAGUUGUAGUUGCGAGAAGCACUUUCUAGGCGGAUCGGUGGUGCCUAAGUUGCUUGGAACAGUACGUCAUAGAGGGUGA